AAGGCGGCCUUCUGGACAGUACUGACGCUGAGAUGCGAAAGCGUGGGGAGCAAACAGGAUUAGAUACCUGGUAGUCACGCUGUAAACGAUGUCGAUUUGGAGUUGUUGCCUAGGGUGAUGGGCUCCGAAGCUAACGCGAUAAAUCGACCGCCUGGGGGGUACGGCCGCAAGGUUAAAACUCAAAUGAAUUGACGGGGGCCCGCACAAGCGGUGGAGCACGUGGUUUAAUUCGAUGCAACGCGAAGAACCUUACCUGGUCUUGACAUCCAUAGAAUUCUGCAGAGAUGUGGGAGUGCCUUCGGGAACUAUGAGACAGGUGCUGCAUGGCUGUCGUCAGCUCGUGUUGUGAAAUGUUGGGUUAAGUCCCGCAACGAGCGCAACCCUUAUUCUUUGUUGCCAGCGAUUUGGUCGGGAACUCAAAGGAGACUGCCGUUGAUAAAGCGGAGGAAGGUGGGGACGACGUCAAGUCAUCAUGGCCCUUACGACCAGGGCUACACACGUGCUACAAUGGCGUAUACAAAGGGAAGCGAAGGUGCGAGCUGGAGCGGAUCUCAUAAAGUACGUCUAAGUUCGGAUUGGAGUCUGCAACUCGACUCUAUGAAGUCGGAAUCGCUAGUAAUCGUAGAUCAGAAUGCUACGGUGAAUACGUUCCCGGGCCUUGUACACACCGCCCGUCACACCAUGGGAGUGGGUUGCACCAGAAGUAGAUAGCUUAACCGCGAGGGGGGCGUUUACCACGGUGUGAUUCAUGACUGGGGUGAAGUCGUAACAAGGUAACCA
rnacentral:rRNA from 1 species